GAUGAACGCUGGCGGCGUGCCUAAUACAUGCAAGUCGAGCGAACAGACGAGGAUCUUGCUCCUCUGACGUUAGCGGCGGACGGGUGAGUAACACGUGGAUAACCUACCUAUAAGACUGGGAUAACUUCGGGAAACCGGAGCUAAUACCGGAUAACAUGUUGAACCGCAUGGUUCAACAGUGAAAGACGGUUUUGCUGUCACUUAUAGCUGGAUCCGCGUCGCAUUAGCUAGUUGGUAAGGUAAAGGCUUACCAAGGCAACGAUGCGUAGCCGACCUGAGAGGGUGGUCGGCCACACUAGAGCUGGGACACGCUCCAGACUACUACGGGAGGAAGCAGUAGGGAAUCUUACGCAAUGGGCGAGAGCAUGACGGAGCAACGCCGCGUGAGUGAAGAAGGUCUUCGGAUCGUAAAACUCUGUUAUUAGGGAAGAACAAAUGUGUAAGUAGCUGUGCACGUAUUGACGGUACCUGAUCAGAAAGCCACGGCUAACUACGUG
rnacentral:rRNA from 1 species